AUGGCUCAGGAUGAACGCUGGCGGCGUGCUUAACACAUGCAAGUCGAACGAAGCUAAGGGAGCUUGCUCCCAAAGCUUAGUGGCGGACGGGUGAGUAACGCGUGGGUAACCUGCCCUAUAGAGGGGGAUAACGUUCGGAAACGAACGCUAAUACCGCAUAAACCAUAAGGAGCUGCAUGGCUCUGAUGGCAAAGAUCUAUCGCUAUAGGAUGGACCUGCGUUGGAUUAGCUAGUUGGCGAGAUAACAGCUCACCAAGGCGACGAUCCAUAGCCGGCCUGAGAGGGUGAACGGCCACAUUGGGACUGAGACACGGCCCAAACUCCUACGGGAGGCAGCAGUGGGGAAUAUUGCACAAUGGGCGCAAGCCUGAUGCCAGCGACGCCGCGUGAAGGAAGAAGGUCUUCGGAUUGUAAACUUCUAUCAGCAGGGAAGAAUAAAUGACGGUACCUGACUAAGAAGCCCCGGCUAACUACGUGCCAGCAGCCGC
rnacentral:rRNA from 1 species